UGGGGAAUUUUGCACAAUGGGGGAAACCCUGAUGCAGCGACGCCGCGUGAUUUAGAAGGCCUUCGGGUUGUAAAAAUCUUUUUUACGGGAUGAAAAUGACAGUACCGUAAGAAUAAGGUCCGGCUAAAUACGUGCCAGCAGCCGCGGUAAUACGUAUGGACCGAGCGUUGUCCGGAAUCAUUGGGCGUAAAGGGUACGUAGGCGGCCUAGUAAGUUAGAAGUGAAAUAAUAUAGCUCAACUAUAUAAAGCUUUUAAAACUGCUAGGCUUGAGAGAUGGAAGGGAAAGUGGAAUUCCUAGUGUAGCGGUGGAAUGCGCAGAUAUUAGGAAGAAUACCGGUGGCGAAGGCGACUUUCUGGUCAUCAUCUGACGCUGAGGUACGAAAGCGUGGGUAGCAAACAGG
rnacentral:rRNA from 1 species